GAAGAAAGAUGAAAACAAGUUUAGCGACGAUGCUUAAACAGAUGGCGCAAGACUAAGGCUGUACAUUGCAUGUAACUAUGUUAAAGUUUAUUCUAUUUUGCUUUUUUCUUUACCUUUUUCCUGCUUUUAGU
rnacentral:ribozyme from 1 species